AAUUUAUAUUCAGUUUUAAGUUGAACAGAACCAAUCUGAUAUAAAAAUAAAAUACAUUUUUCAGUGAACAAAUGACAAAUUCUUUUCCCAAAUUUAGUAUUUUUGUGGUUAUCAUUAAUUUUUUUUUCUGGCAGGUAUCAUCUGUCGUUGUCCUCAUUAUCGUAUUUCAUUGAAUUGGUUAAUGUAAAGUUUUCAUGGUCUGGUCUGUUUCUUGGAUACUAUAGGUAAAAGGUCAACUAUAUGUGUAUGUGGUGUAUGGAUUUAUUCAGGUGUACAUGUCUGUUUGGUAGAAUGUAUCUGACCUUGACUUCAUGGUCAUUGAUCAUUGAUAAUAUUAAGUGUAUGUGAUACUUGUAGUAAAUCCUCUGUUUUUAAAUCUUUAAACAUAAAAUUAAUCUUGGUCAGUAAAGUAGGUGAGACAUUUCAACCCAAACCUGUGACCAGGGCGGUUUGAGGGGUUUGUACAAACCCCCCUUGAAAACAAUUAAGUACAGUUGAAGUCGAUGAUUUGUUUGAAUUGUAACUGUAAAAUUCAGGCUUCACAGGUCCAUGUAACACCCACCUCACCUGGAAAUUCUUAGCUACAGACCUGCAACUCACACUCUCUUGUGAACUCUUUAAAUGAAAUUAUUGUCUAGAUUUUGAUUUGAAGAAAGGCUGACCAGUUAUUAAAGUAUUUGUUUUAAUGGUUUUAUUGUAUUUAUUUUAUAUUAAGUGGUGAUUGCAAGUACACUUUUUGAUGUAAUACAAUAAAUGGCAAUUAGUCUAUUACUAUGUACAACAAUUAAUGAUGAUAUUGAUACAAGUCAUUGUUGAAGGCUUGAUUUUACAUUAUGUCAAUAGAAAUUUUUUUAUUUAAGGUAUGUUAUAAAGUGUAUAUGUAAAUGCUCUUUUGUUCCGACGUUGGAAAGUUCCGGGUGGAAAGAACUAACUAGCCGAAAAGUUCCAGAGGAACUUAAUAACUAGUUAUUUGUUCUUCCUCUGGUUUAAAAGUUCCACCGGAACAAGUGACUAGUUGAAAAGUUCCAACGGAACAUAUCAACUAGUAGAAAUCCCCUUUUUUGCCAAAUUAGUCAAAACAGGAACUAACAAACUAGCCCAAAAGUUGCUACAGAACUUAUCAACCAGUCACAAAGUUCCAUUUGGAGAAUUGAUUCAAAGUAAAAGCGCAACAUAUUAUAUUUGAACCUUUCAAAGGUGACCCAAGAUACUGAUUACAAAAGUCAAAAGGAACUUAUCAACUAGUCACACAGUUCCUCUUUGGCAAAUAAGUCAAAACUGGAACUAACAAACUAGCCCAAAAGUUCCUCCUCAUGUGGGUACUUUUAAAAAUAUCAAUUUCAGAUUAAUGUAUAACAAUAAAUUACAACUUAUUCCUUAUGAAGGCAACAUUCUGACUGAAUUAACUAGUUGUUCUGUUCCACCAGAACUUUUCAACUAACUACAUUGUUCCGGCACUUUUCAACUGCACUUGGAAAAAACCAACUAGUUGGAAAGUUCAAUGGGAACAAAAUAACUAGUUGAAAAGUUCGGCCGGAAAAAAGUAAUUGACGGAACAUAGUGGCUGUUACAUAUACAAUACGACUUUCAAUAUCACACACUGUAUCAACCCUUUACCAAUGUUAUUUCUUUAUCAAAGCUCUUGGGAUUAUACUGACGUCUUAGGUUGAUUAGGGUGUGAUAUUGAAAAUCUCUAUUUGGAAGUUUAGUAAGUUAAAUGACGGUUUAUAUUAACAAAAAUGAUAUUUGAUUUGUGAUAUU
rnacentral:lncRNA from 1 species